AAGUCGUAACAAGGUUUCCGUAGGUGAACCUGCGGAAGGAUCAUUAACAAAAUUCAAUAUGAACCCUGUGUCACCAAUCUACCUACCUACAUACGAUGAUCUCAUUACAAACAAAAACAAACGACAACAUCUCUGAACAAAGGAUCUCUAGGCUCUU
rnacentral:misc_RNA from 1 species